AUGGCUCUUCGAAUUUCAAUUAUGGGGAGUCUUACCUGCCCGGUGGUUUACCAAACGGCCGCGGUACUCUGACCGUGCGAAGGUAGCAUAAUCAUUUGUCUUAUAAUUGAAGUCUGGAAUGAAUGGUUUAACAAGAAUGAAGCUGUCUCUCAUUUUUUUUAAGAAUUUUAUUACUAAGUUAAAAAGCUUAGAUUGCAUAAAAAGACGAGAAGACCCUGUCGAGUUUUAAAUUAUUUACGAUUACUUUAACAUUAAUGAAAUCAGGUUGUUUUAAAAAUUUUUUGGUUGGGGCGACUUAGGAACAAAAAAAGCUUCUUAUAUCUUAAUAAAUUUAUUUAUCAUGAUCCAUUUCUUUAUGAUUAUCAGAAUUAAUUACCGCAGGGAUAACAGCAUUAUUUUUUUAGAGAGUUCUAAUCGAAAAAAAAGUUUGUGACCUCGAUGUUGGACCAAGAUAUCCUAAAGGUGCAGCAGCCUUUAAAUGGUUGGUCUGUUCGACCAUUAAAAUCUUACGUGAUCUGAGUUCAAACCGG
rnacentral:rRNA from 1 species